UUGACGUGAUUUCCUACCUUUAUUCCAGCGAUGCUUUUGAACCCUAAUUUUAGUAUUGGCUUUUUUCAUGCCAUCGAUUAUUGCUUUUAGCUCCCUGUUUUCUUUUUCCAGCCUCUUAAUUUUUGCUGUCAACUUGGGUUGACGAACCUUUUGAGGGGGACAUGGAUUUGAGGAAAGAGAACCAUGAGCAGGAGAAAGAUGAACUGGACUUAAGGACACAUCAAGUUCUUCGGGAUCUCCUCAUGCCUGGCUUCAUCCUGCGCUAACCCGAUCAGUUACACCACAGGACUAUCAAAAAUGAACACGCUCAUGGUCCGUCAGGAACAAUGAAAUUUAUAAAAUUAAUAUGAGAUUAACACUCACCUUUCAACCUUCUUGGCACAUGCAAACAUCUGGGGGUCUUCUUGGUAGGGGGCUUGACUAAAGGACCCCUAUGGCUGUCCAUGUAACCACCAGUACAAAAAUCUAAUAUCCUAUCUCACACUGCAGGACAGCAUUU